CCUACGGGAGGCAGCAGUAGGGAAUAUUGCUCAAUGGGGGAAACCCUGAAGCAGCAACGCCGCGUGGAGGAUGACGGUUUUCGGAUUGGAAACUCCUUUUUUUAGAGAAGUUAAUGACGGUAUCUAACGAAUAAGCACCGGCUAACUCCGUGCCAGCAGCCGCGGUAAUACGGAGGGUGCAAGCGUUAAUCGGAAUCACUGGGCGUAAAGCGAGCGUAGGCGGGUUAGCAAGUCAGAUGUGAAAUCCUACGGCUUAACCAUAAAACUGCAUUUGAAACUGUCAUUCUAGAGUAUAGGAGAGGUAGGUGGAAUUCUUGGUGUAGGGGUAAAAUCCGUAGAUAUCAAGAGGAAUCCUCAUUGCGAAGGCGACCUGCUAGAACAUAACUGACGCUGAUGCGCGAAAGCGUGGGGAGCAAACAGGAUUAGAUACCCGAGUAGUC
rnacentral:rRNA from 1 species